ensembl:lncRNA
GGAGGAAGAAGAGGGAGGGGCGGGGCUUGUGAGUGCGCCGAGCAUGUUGGGGCGAAAGAACUCACAUAAAUAACCCGUCAGAUAUAAAAACACACUUGGGGGGAUUUGAUGACAGAGAGAGUCAUUUUUAUUCUUAAAUAUUGGUGAAAAGCAGAAGGGGCCCUUUUCUCAUCCAGGUGUCAGAACCACAGGGGGUCCAGGGUCUGGUCCAGGUAGACCACCCGUCCGUGUGCCUGCUGACUACUACAAACCUCCCAUUCUCAGGUUGAGCUCUGUCACUAUUGUAGUUAUGAGCACAGCUAGCAAUGUUAGCUUGUAGCAGCCUAAACAAAAUAAUAAAACGCCUCAAUCUGUAAAUACAAUAUAUAUAUAUACAGUAUUUGUACACAAAUACUUGUAAUCACAUGUUAUUAUUGCAUUCAUACUCCCGUUUAUAAAUAUAUUCUUAUUCUUGUGUCCUGAGAUAGAUUUACCUCCAUGGGAUGAAUCAAGUUUGAGAUAGAAUUAGAUAGAACUGUAGAUAGAACUGUACCAAACAGAAGCUCACCAUCUCUUUAAAUAUCUCCAUGACAACAGACCAGGGGUCCGUUUCAAGUGUUACAGCUGUUCAGAGUCGGUUGACUCAGUUGAGCCGCGCAGCAUCACAGUAUGAAGGCAGCAUGAAUGGACGAGUUACCAUGACAACCACAAACAAUAUGUUCACCUGCAAGUAUUAAUGCAACGAACGGCGAGUAUGAACCCGUGAUCAGACAGAAAAGCAACACGCUGCUGCAGCAAAAAACAGAGGAACAGCGUAAGUUCCACUAUAGUGUUAAGUUAAUAUUUGAUGUACACUAAUCAUAAUCCAUACGCUUUACUAAUUCCCAGUGUUUGUUAGAAUGCACUACACACAGGCUGGAAAUACACACACAUGCUCAUAUUUAAUCGCUGGUAUAAACUGGCUCGAUGGUGUUGGACCUGUAAUGGGUUUUCUUCAGGUCCUGUGAGACUCCUCUUUAACGUCUCACUGGUUUGUGUCCAACAAAAAGGUUUAAAAGACGUCUCUCACGGUCUCUGCAUGCAGCAGCUUUACUGAUAUACAGGAAUUGUAAUUUAUUUUAGGAUUUCCCAAUUUGAUUGUCUGCAUUGAUGGAAUCACUGCUCAGUGGAUGAAGCCGACUGUGUGAACAGGAAGUGUUUUCACAGCAUCAACGUGCAGAUAAAAUGACCACAUGACUGUAACACGCCUCAUUCUCUGUACCAGCCACAUCAUAUGUGAUGCUGCAUACCUGAUAACUCCCCAGGUAACUGCACGGCUUCAUCCUUACAUGCACACACACACAGCUCACACCCAAAGACACAAAAGACACACACUGACUCACACACUUUUUUACAGUGUGGACUUUGUGUCCUCCCCCCGCAGGAAGAUAAGAGUUUAGCUCAGUAAUAAAUCCUUGUUCCUCCUCUCUGCUGGAGUUUGGCCUCUGUUCACAUACAAACACACACAGAUAAACACACACACACACACACAAACGCACACACAUGAACACGGCAACGAGCAGAACAUCUCUUAAUGGCUCGUCUUCAUUUCAGUGAAACCACAAACCUGAAAAUCCAACAAAAAACUGAAAAGAAACACAGCAAAGUACACAGAGGGGAGAGGAGACAAGGCGAAAAGAAGACAAAGACACAGUGAUAAAAGGAGAGGACACAAGGAGACAAGGAGACGUAGAACGUGUUAUUUUAGGGUUAAGGUCAAUAAAGGUUGGAAGUCGAGGCAUUAAAGUGACUUUUCACUAAACAGGGAGGAAGCUGACGCAGCGACAGAAACAGCUCUGUGUGUUUGUGUGUGUUUGUGUGUGUUUGUGUGUGUUCAAGGUGAAGACACACAAAGAAAUGUGGACUUUACAACAAACAUUACAUUGAGAAAUAUUUCCGUUUUGUGUUGAUCUUUCCUGAAUUUCUCUACUAUAUUUUGUAUAUUAAACUUUCAUUCUAUUUUUAUCUUGUUUAUUGUUUUAAUGUUUUCAAUUAAUGGAGUUUCUUGAAAACAAAAGACUUUAAUAGUCAGAAACUCCAACACAAAAUGGCCCAAGGGGCGAAAACGCACACAGGUACCAGGGAAGAAGGCAGGCAGGAACUCUAAACAUCCAGGACAAUAGACAAUGAUUCAAUGCUGGGGUUAUGUGCCUUGCCCAAGGACACAUGGACACACGGGUUAGCAAUGCACAGGAUUGAACCUCCAACCCUCUGAUUGGAGGAAGAUCUCCACUUCCUUUCCUUUUCCCUCCUGUUGUGAUGAUUUUAAUGGUUGUAUGUGGCGCACUUUGCAUGUGCAAUGCUCCUUUUCCUCUGGUUUCACAUCACUUCCUGGUCGACACCACCGCCGUCACAUGUCUACAAAAUGACACGUGUUCCAACAUUUUGGUAUUUCUACCUUUUAAAGAAAAACAUUGGGACUAAACACAUAUGAAGAAGACACGGAUCCACAAAGAAGAGGUUCCGAUGUCAUCAUAAGACCACGAGUGUCUGGUGAGUCUCCAUCAGCGCCCAGCUGACUGCUGGGAAUGACCCAUGGUCACCCUGCCACGGCCCAGCUGAUGAUGUCAUUGUGAUGUCACAGGGGAACCCGACCGCUUACAUUCCUGAUGUCUUAAGGCGGCCUGCUCUGGAGCCGGUUCAGGUCUUUGGAUUUGUUGCCAUGGUGUUUUUGCCAAACCUGCUUUGUGGAACCAAAAAUCCUGAUCAAUGUAAUCUUAUCCUGAAAAUAAUCCGGCUAACUCAGUUAGCGACGUACGAGGAACGGAGCCCAGGUCACAGAACCAGGACGAGGCUAACUUAGCUUAGCACAAACACUGGAAGCAGGUAGAGGCUGCUAGCCUAGCUAUAAAAAAACGUGCCACGACAUGUUGUAGUUUAGAACAGAACGGGACUCUAAUGGCGCGUUUCCACCGAGCGGUACGGUACGGGUCGGGUCGGUCCCCUUUUAUUUGUGUCUCCACUGCCAAAAGUUGAGAAUGGUACCAAAAAUCCAAACCGUACCGUACCACCUUUUGGGUUCCCUUCCGUUGGGGCACCUGGCACAGUUGUUUGGUACUAAAGGGCGGAGCUAGACUCACGGCAGAGCGUUGAUUGGUUGAAAGAGUGUCGUCAUUUGCGUGUGCCGCAAGGGGAAAGACAACACACAUGUAGCCUUUGCUCAAACAAAGAUUGUCGCCUCCUUGUGACAAACAGCCACAUGUGGAGAAGCAGGAACAGGAUCGGCUGUGCGUCCUCCAUCGUUGUUUGCGGUUAGCUUUCAGUUUUCUACUUUCCGUCAUAUACCACGCCUAUCAAGUGACGUCAUCACUACUUUCUGGAAUACACCACGCUUAUCAAGUAAGGGUACUGUUGGCGGUGGAAACGCCCGCCAAACCAUGGUUAACAGACCCGACCCGUACCGACCCGACCCGUACCGUAUCGCUCGGUGGAAACGCGCCAUUACUCUCGUCGGACUGAACUAAAGAGACCGUACCAAACGUCCUCAGUACACAGAACAAUAUGUUCAUCAUCUGACUUUGUAAAGCCACAACAUUUACUCUGAGUUGUAGAUUAAAAUAUAAAGAAUAGUAACAGUGAGCUGAUGAUAUUCGCUAUCAGCUGAAGCACAAACACGACUGAUGUGUAAUAACAAUAAUAACAACAGCCACCAGCUGAUCGCUUUCAUCAGACUGAAAACUGAGGUCAGACCACACCUUCGCCCCCCCAGGCAGGGCGGGAUGUUAUUGUCUCUGUGGUUACAGAGGAACGAAUCCGAUGAGCCUCCUGAACGCCAAGUCAUCAAUCAACACAAUCUGUCGGGUAAAUCCUGAGGGGGGGUCUUCACAACAAUCACGCGAGAAAAAAUCCUCCAAGCUGAGAACGUUUUUCAGAAGUUAUUUUGUUGAAGCCAUCAAUCCUCCAGUUUAAUAUUAAGUGUCAAAUGAAAUCAUUAAAACUUUGAAUAGUGCAGAUUAACUUUUGGGAUUCACUCUGAAUACCUUGAAGAAUACCAACGUGUAGGACAGCUGCUGAGCCUCUGAACACUUUUUACUUUUGAUAAACAGGAAAAUUACAUUACAAACUCUCAUCACAAAAAACACAAAGGUCUGUAAAAGUGUUUUAGUAUUCAAUAUCCAGAUAAAUAAUAUUUCAUCAAUAGACUCUGAUCAAUAACUCAUCUGUGUAGAGAUGUAGAGGAGGAACCUCGAGCCGAUCGAAGAAGGCGGUUCUGUGUGCUGAGCUCCUCCCCUUUAUUCAGAGCGCAUCACGUUUAUGCUAAUGCUAAUGCUAAUGCAUGUGAGUGGGCCUGUUGGUGCAUGUUAGUCAAUGUGAACAAGGCCUCGGCGCUCCUGUUAAGCCUUUGUUAGCUGCAGGUAGCUAAAGCAGGUAGUCUGGGACUCAAAUUGUCUCCAGGGGGGACUUCAUGUUGGACCUGUCCGUCUUCUGUGGACUUUGUGUGUUGGUUUAGAAGUCCGGGUCAUAAGGGAGAGGAGGUCAUUACCUGAUCUGAACUAGACCAAAAGUAUUGGAAACAGAAGCACCAGAGAAGAAGAGUUCAGCUUUGUGUUGAAGCUUCUUGUCCAUCACAGCCACCAUAGAGGAAGAACAUGUGUGACCAGACAAUGGAAAGAAGUCUGGAGUCAUUCUAUCAACUUUCUAUGAACUUCAAAGUGGUAUGAAGCUCUCUUUGAUAACCUCACGCUCCUCUAGAUGCCUCAUCCGUGACCUUUAGGAUGAAGCUGGUGAUGAGUCCUCUCGGUCUGCACUUGUAAUUCCAGCGCGAUGAAGGUGGGCGUCCCAGCUGGAGGCCGGAUCUCGGCUAGACCCGGAGGGUCUCUGAUCUGUAAGAGCAUUAAGACCUUUGUUGAGGAUCAGUGACGUCACAGCACCGGAUUGUUUGCCUCCUCCCAGCUCUUAGGUAACGGGCGUCACACACGUCACAUUCAGGUGCUCUUCUAACUCGAAGAAAACACGCAACUUCCUGUUUGGUGAGUCGUUGGCCAAGCGGCCCGGCCUCGUCCUGUAAGCCGAGCGCGGCUUGUUGCAGAACCAGCCGACCACAGGACGCCAUUGGAGAUCAACCGCCUCCAUCCCAGCGGGUUUCAAAACGCACUGAAGCAACAACGGCCGAGUUUCAACACGCCCAUCAGCUCAAAGACGUAGGACGACCUCUGACCUUUCACCACACGAGGCCCUUCUGACACGAGAGCUCAGUCUACACACACAAAUAGUUCUUAUGAGAAAGACGUUUGCUGAUAUGGAUUUGAACUUUAGAACUUCCCCUGUGGGGGGAACCUGAAGGAGACCAGGAUUUUGGAGUUUGGUGGCACUUUGUGACCACAAUGUUUUCACAUGAGGUGAAUCAUGUCUCUAAAUGUUGUUGCGUCGCGCUUAUUGAUUAUUACACACAGUAGUUUGUUCUACUGGAGGAGGAGAAAUGUCCUUUGACACCUAAAGUCAGAUGUUCUCUUCAACACUUCUAAAUAUGAACUGUGUCGGCUGAAGAAGAUCGAAGAGGGCUGUGCUGUGUGGGGAGAAGACUGAGACAGGGAGGUGAUCUAUAGGACAGACGCUUUGGUUAUGAGAGGAACCGAAAGAACCAGCAGAACCAAAGUGACCUAAUAAACCUAAAUAACCCAAAACAAAAUAACUUGAUGAAUCUAAAUAACUAGAAAGUCUCUAAAGAACCUAAACAACCAAAUUAUAAAAUACACCUCAAUAACCCAAAAACCUAAAGACCCUAAAGAGUGCGUGCGUGCGUGUGUGUGUGUGUGUGUGUGUGUGUGUGUGUGUGUGUGUGUGUGUGUGUCCGGGGGGAAAAGGGCAGGCAGGAACGAGGAACAUCCAGAACGAUUGACAAUGACGCGACAAGUGACAGGAGACACACACGGCUUAAAUACACCAGGGAGGUGCAGGUGAUUGGACACAGGUGGAAACAAUCAGACAAUCACAGGGGACGACAGGACCAGGCAGGAAGUGAAGUUACCCGGGGAGACAAGAAGCAGAAAACUACAAAAUAAGACAGGAAAUAAAACCACACGUGACAAAGGAUUAAAUAACAGUUUUAUAUGUCUACGUGUGUACGGAACCGUGGGGUUAAAUUAUUCGAUUCAAUUCAUUUCAUUUUGAUUAGUCCUCACAGGCCUUUACAGUCUGCACACACGGGACGUUCUCCGUCCACAAACCCUCACGUGGGCACAAGACAAACGUUCAUUCAAAACGUGCACAUAGUAACACAAUAUCACUGGCACACGUACACACUCACACUACUUCCAGUAGCUCUUGCUCUGAUAUGUAUUUAAGCAGAAAAGCAUAGUGUUUGUAGUUGUCUUAUUAGAUAUUACAUAAUUAUGUUAGAUUAAUAAAGGUAAAAUGAAUUGAACUUUAAAGACAUGACAUCCAGCCACAAUAUAAAGUUCCUGGGGCAUAAAUGCUUAAACCUUCCUCCACGGAUUUUUCCUGCUGUCAGGCCGACGUAGGAAAGGCCGAGUCAGUCACAUUCGCUGUAAAAUGACACAUCUGCUGGAGAAGAGGCAGCAGAAGCCUCUUGAGAACCAUUGUUGAUGGUCACAUUAGAGGAUUCUCUGUAUUUCAUCAAAUAUUGUAUUAUUCACACUACAUUUCACUUUGUAAUUGUACGGAUUUGUUCUUGUAGUUCUGAUGAAGUUCUGAUGAAGUUCUGAUGAAGUUCUGAGGGGCUCUUCUUGUCUCCACAACAAGGUUUUGCAUGAUAGAUGUGGAGUUUUCAGCUUUAGUUAAAGGCGGGUCAACGUGCUGCGACCCGACCAGGGCGCGUGGGAGGCGUGGCGCUACGCGGCGCCGUCUUACCUGCUACACGGGGGCGUAACCGCAGCAACACAACGAUGCGUCUCUUCAUUAUGGGCUCAGCCGGGUAAUUGUCUGUCGAGACAAAUGUCUUAUUUUGUCUUACAGACGAGUUUGCGUCUUCAGAUGUUUAACGGGUGACUGAAUGUGUCUGUGAUCGAUCGUAUGAACUUAAUGAAAUCUGUUUGAUUGACACCAAAAGGAUUCAGCAGCUGCCGUCACAGCGAGUCGUCAGUGAACACGGGGACCGAAUAAACCGAAACACCGGGUGCUUAUUUGGAAGUGAACUGCAGCAUAUAAAUGUUUAUAGCUGCACGCGAUCAAACUAACUCUGAAACAUCAGUGAAGGAGAACGUUUCAAAGUAACAGAGCAAACUAAAGCUCAUCCGUUUGUUCAAACUGAGCAUGUAGUAAAUGGCUGUGCCAGCCCCCCCAUAAGGGUCCUGCUGGAUUGGGUGAUGUCAUAGGAACGAAGAACACUCGUCCCCAUUGAAAAAGACAUCGAGAAAUCAGAGGAUGAUUUAUUUUGUGGUGAAUCAACUUCCCCCUCAGAACACAUGGAUAUAUGAAUUGUUGUUGGUACAUGUGAAGCCAGUUGGACAGGUCAGUGCUGGAUGCUGCGUCCCGUCUCCAGCUCUGCAGUCUUUCCACACGAUUUAUGUGCAGCGUGAACCUUCCCUCCAGCAACAGGGAGCUUUAGAGAUCAGGGGGCACCAGAACAGACCACGCAGAAAUUAAGCAACGUACAUUAAACGUGCGUCUUAUCUGAGCUGUAAAUCCGCUGGAGACACUGAGGUGUGGAAGACAGGAAGCUGCUGGACGUCCCAGAAACCCCCAAGUGAACCCUGAAAUGUGCUCCGCUCAUUUUAUACUGAAGAAAAUAUAAGCUCACUCAACGAGAAGCAAAACCAAUGCAACCGUGACUGGUACAAAAUGGAAGGGUUUGUUAUAUAAUGAGAGUAUAUCACUAUUAUAUAAAGGAUGCUAUGCAGCAAUGUGUCUAAUAAUAAUAAUGUUAGUAGCAGCAGGUGUCAGCAGGAGGAAGGACCAGAAUAUGACCACAAUCCAUGAAGAAGGGACUGACUUGCAUUAAUGGGACAUUAGAAGGAGACUUCUAGAUGAGAAGAAGAUGAGAGAGGAGCUGAGUGUCUCCUAGGAAGCCUCCUUACUAUAAACUGCAAACAACCUUUUUAAUUUGCAUCCUUGAUCUUACUGCGAGUCACAAUCCAGAGUCGGAUAUUCUAGAUUCUUCUGGCGCCAACAAAUGUUUCUUACGUGAACUUUAGUAAAACAGUGAAAGAGUCUCUAUUUUCUGGCUGCUCGAUUCUUCCGCGUUAUAAAAUAACAAAGUGAUGUGGUUCUGAAGAGCCGGAGUGAAUCAGCAAAAAGUCGACUCUACAGAAGAAGGAAGUGGUUACAAUACUUCCUCUUUCAGGUUUACCAACAGAGGAGAGUGAAACACGGGAUGGACAGCAGGGAGGACGGCGUCCGCCUCAACACCAGGAAGUAGAAACAACAAACAACCCUCAGCGUGGUGUUUGGCUGACGUGGAAUCCUCUUACGGACCAUGUGCCUCCUCGUCAUCCUCAGCACACAACGGAGAGCUCAGUGCUUUGUUAUGUAGGAGUUCAGACGAGGCUGUGAAGGCCUCCACCAGUUUACACACACAAAGAGCUUAAACCUCCAGUCAUCAUGAAGGCCUGUAGGCCACAAAAUACAAGACCUCAGAGUCCUGAGGUUCCUCCUCAAACCCUCAAGAGUCGGGGUCGGGGGGAGUAGAGCGGGUGCGCUGGGAACCGCAAGGUUGGUGGUUCAAGUCCCGGCUGCUCCAUGUCUCAAGUCGAAGUGUCCCUGAGCAAGACACCUGACCCCUAAAUGCUCCCCGGGCAAAAUGUGAAAAACGCUGCAGGUUUAAAGUGUAAGUCGCUUUGGAUAAAAGCGUCUGCUAAAUGACCUGUGAUGAAAAGAGUCCUGACCUUCCUCCUAAAGACCUCAGUGAAGGUGGAGCUGAUGAAAAUGACAACGGUGAAGAUGAAGAUGAGGGUGAUGAGGGCAAAGUUGAAGAUAAUGGAGCUGAUGAAGAUACAAAUGAUCAAGCUAAAUAUGAUGA